AUUGAACGCUGGCGGUAGGCCUAACACAUGCAAGUCGAGCGGGGUUUUCGGACCUAGCGGCGGACGGGUGAGUAAUGCGUAGGAAGCUACCCGAUAGAGGGGGAUACCAGUUGGAAACGACUGUUAAUACCGCAUAAUGUCUACGGACCAAAGUGUGGGACCUUCGGGCCACAUGCUAUCGGAUGCGCCUACGUGGGAUUAGCUAGUUGGUGAGGUAAUGGCUCUCCAAGGCGACGAUCCCUAGCUGGUUUGAGAGGAUGAUCAGCCACACUGGAACUGAGACACGGUCCAGACUCCUACGGGAGGCAGCAGUGGGGAAUAUUGGACAAUGGGCGCAAGCCUGAUCCAGCCAUGCCGCGUGUGUGAAGAAGGCCUUCGGGUUGUAAAGCACUUUCAGUAGGGAGGAGGCGUUGUGUGUUAAUAGUACACAGCGUUGACGUUACCUACAGAAGAAGCACCGGCUAACUCUGUGCCAGCCGCCGCGGUAAUAC
rnacentral:rRNA from 1 species